UCACUAAACCCUAGACUUCUUUUAAAUUUCUAAUAGCAAAAAAGAUAUAGCUGUAGCACCACUCAGAUAAAAUAUUUCUCUAGAGCACAUCGAAGAAGAACUCUUUCCAUCUCCUGGAACCCCGUGAAAAAUACUCUCUCAACAUAUUAAAGAAUACUCCCCCUUUAGAGAAAUCUAAGCAAAUCUGAAGAUACCCAAUCCCUAGCCGCCGGAGAAGGAGAAGACUCUUAAUUUUCCUUAGCUGCAAAGUAGGUAGCAAUUUUGGUAGCAGUAGGGGGUGGAGAAGCUGCAAAUUCGGUGCGAUAAGGGCAGAGACUUUAGCUCCUCAUGGUAAAGUUAUUAUUAAAAAAAGCCAAAUUUUUAUCAAAGGAAAUCUUAAUCUGAAGUGUAUGGAUACUAUCUAGAAGUAUAUAGUCUAAACUACAUACAGAGAAUCAAGAAGAGUGUCCGUGGGAAAAGGAGGAGGGGUGGAUUUCAUUAUCAGUUGAAGAAAAAUCACUUUAAAGCCAAUAAGAAUGAAGAGCGUUGAAUGGAGAAUAGGCCGAUAGAUCUUCUGGAGUUUCACUUUAAGGAUCUUCUUAAAUAUUGGAACUUCGAUUCCCACAAGAAAAUGUCCACAACCAAUACCGAGAAUCGAAAUAAGUUGAGCUAUCUGCACACUGUUGACAAAACAAGUUUUGCUCUAAUCCACGAGGCUCUUUGUGACCGGCAACUAGUUGGUUUGGUUUAGUUCUUUGGUUUCUGGCCACUACUGUUGAAAAAUUUGCAGAUAGGCCUAUGUGGAAUACUGGAUUAGUUUUGCUCAUGGAGUUCAUAGUGAAGGUGGAGUAGAUCAAGAAAUGGAAGAUGAAAGAAGUGAAGAUCUAGACCUUAAGAUGAAUUCUGAAUUGCUAUAGAUGAAUGUUCAAGGAAUCUUUUGUUAUCAACAUUAUUUGAAACUUAUUAUUCUCUUGAAAUGUAUUAAACUUAUGCACUUGGGGUAGAACAUUUUGCUUUAUCGAUAUUAUUAGCUUGUUGAAAAAUUUAGAUUAUUAAUGGUUUUA